GAUGAACGCUGGCGGCGUGCCUAAUACAUGCAAGUCGAACGAACGGACGAGAAGCUUGCUUCUCUGAUGUUAGCGGCGGACGGGUGAGUAACACGUGGAUAACCUACCUAUAAGACUGGGAUAACUUCGGGAAACCGGAGCUAAUACCGGAUAAUAUUUUGAACCGCAUGGUUCAAAAGUGAAAGACGGUCUUGCUGUCACUUAUAGAUGGAUCCGCGCUGCAUUAGCUAGUUGGUAAGGUAACGGCUUACCAAGGCAACGAUGCAUAACCGACCUGAGAGGGUGAUCGGCCACACUGGAACGGAGACACGGUCCAGACUCCUACGGGAGGCAGCAGUAGGGAAUCUUCCGCAAUGGGCGAAAGCCUGACGGAGCAACGCCGCGUGAGUGAUGAAGGUCUUCGGAUCGUAAAACUCUGUUAUUAGGGAAGAACAUAUGUGUAAGUAACUGUGCACAUCUUGACGGUACCUAAUCAGAAAGCCACGGCUAACUACGUG
rnacentral:rRNA from 1 species